GAUGAACGCUGGCGGCGUGCCUAAUACAUGCAAGUCGAGCGAACAGACGAGGAGCUUGCUCCUCUGACGUUAGCGGUGGACGGGUGAGUAACACGUGGAUAACCUACCUAUAAGACUGGGAUAACUUCGGGAAACCGGAGCUAAUACCGGAUAAUAUAUUGAACCGCAUGGUUCAAUAGUGAAAGACGGUUUUGCUGUCACUUAUAGAUGGAUCCGCGCCGCAUUAGCUAGUUGGUAAGGUAACGGCUUACCAAGGCAACGAUGCGUAGCCGACCUGAGAGGGUGAUCGGCCACACUGGAACUGAGACACGGUCCAGACUCCUACGGGAGGCAGCAGUAGGGAAUCUUCCGCAAUGGGCGAAAGCCUGACGGAGCAACGCCGCGUGAAUGAUGAAGGUCUUCGGAUCGUAAAACUCUGUUAUUAGGGAAGAACAAAUGUGUAAGUAACUAUGCACGUCUUGACGGUACCUAAUCAGAAAGCCACGGCUAACUACGU
rnacentral:rRNA from 1 species